GAAUGCUGACAUAAGUAACGAUAAAGCGGGUGAAAAGCCCGCUCGCCGGAAGACCAAGGGUUCCUGUCCAACGUUAAUCGGGGCAGGGUGAGUCGACCCCUAAGGCGAGGCCGAAAGGCGUAGUCGAUGGGAAACAGGUUAAUAUUCCUGUACUUGGUGUUACUGCGAAGGGGGGACGGAGAAGGCUAUGUUGGCCGGGCGACGGUUGUCCCGGUUUAAGCGUGUAGGCUGGUUUUCCAGGCAAAUCCGGAAAAUCAAGGCUGAGGCGUGAUGACGAGGCACUACGGUGCUGAAGCGACAAAUGCCCUGCUUCCAGGAAAAGCCUCUAAGCAUCAGGUAACAUCAAAUCGUACCCCAAACCGACACAGGUGGUCAGGUAGAGAAUACCAAGGCGCUUGAGAGAACUCGGGUGAAGGAACUAGGCAAAAUGGUGCCGUAACUUCGGGAGAAGGCACGCUGAUAUGUAGGUGAAGCGACUUGCUCGUGGAGCUGAAAUCAGUCGAAGAUACCAGCUGGCUGCAACUGUUUAUUAAAAACACAGCACUGUGCAAACACGAAAGUGGACGUAUACGGUGUGACGCCUGCCCGGUGCCGGAAGGUUAAUUGAUGGGGUUAGCGGUAACGCGAAGCUCUUGAUCGAAGCCCCGGUAAACGGCGGCCGUAACUAUAACGGUCCUAAGGUAGCGAAAUUCCUUGUCGGGUAAGUUCCGACCUGCACGAAUGGCGUAAUGAUGGCCAGGCUGUCUCCACCCGAGACUCAGUGAAAUUGAACUCGCUGUGAAGAUGCAGUGUACCCGCGGCAAGACGGAAAGACCCCGUGAACCUUUACUAUAGCUUGACACUGAACAUUGAGCCUUGAUGUGUAGGAUAGGUGGGAGGCUUUGAAGUGUGGACGCCAGUCUGCAUGGAGCCGACCUUGAAAUACCACCCUUUAAUGUUUGAUGUUCUAACGUGGGCCCCUUACCGGGGUUGCGGACAGUGUCUGGUGGGUAGUUUGACUGGGGCGGUCUCCUCCUAAAGAGUAACGGAGGAGCACGAAGGUUGGCUAAUCCUGGUCGGACAUCAGGAGGUUAGUGCAAUGGCAUAAGCCAGCUUGACUGCGAGCGUGACGGCGCGAGCAGGUGCGAAAGCAGGUCAUAGUGAUCCGGUGGUUCUGAAUGGAAGGGCCAUCGCUCAACGGAUAAAAGGUACUCCGGGGAUAACAGGCUGAUACCGCCCAAGAGUUCAUAUCGACGGCGGUGUUUGGCACCUCGAUGUCGGCUCAUCACAUCCUGGGGCUGAAGUAGGUCCCAAGGGUAUGGCUGUUCGCCAUUUAAAGUGGUACGCGAGCUGGGUUUAGAACGUCGUGAGACAGUUCGGUCCCUAUCUGCCGUGGGCGCUGGAGAACUGAGGGGGGCUGCUCCUAGUACGAGAGGACCGGAGUGGACGCAUCACUGGUGUUCGGGUUGUCAUGCCAAUGGCACUGCCCGGUAGCUAAAUGCGGAAGAGAUAAGUGCUGAAAGCAUCUAAGCACGAAACUUGCCCCGAGAUGAGUUCUCCCUGACUCCUUGAGAGUCCUGAAGGAACGUUGAAGACGACGACGU
rnacentral:rRNA from 2 species